UCUCCUACUGAGAGCCCACACAGGUGAUGGCC
rnacentral:piRNA from 1 species